UACGAAGGGGGCGAGCGUUGUUCGGAUUUACUGGGCGUAAAGGGUGCGCAGGCGGUUAUGCAAGAUACAGGUGAAAUCCCCGGGCUUAACCUGGGAAUGGCCUGUGUGACUGCAUAGCUAGAGUGUGUCAGAGGGAGGUAGAAUUCCACGUGUAGCGGUGAAAUGCGUAGAGAUGUGGAGGAAUACCGAUGGCGAAGGCAGCCUCCUGGGAUAACACUGACGCUCAGGCACGAAAGCGUGGGGAGCAAACAGG
rnacentral:rRNA from 1 species